UGUGUUUUAUAUUCUCCCGUAGGUUAAUAAGCAGUGCUUAUAUAGAUAGAUCCUUCCAGUGUUACAAUUGAUUGGGUAGCAUUUUGCAAGAGUACUUAGCAGAGUACACUUCCUCCUUAGCCCUCAAUAGGCGGCAUUGUUGGGCAUGUUUGUAGCAGUUUCCUUAGACUCUAUUCUUCCCACCCCUGUGGGGACAUGGGCUGCCACUCUGUUUCUGCUGCUCUCAUAGAUUCCACAGCCUGGAGAGGCAGACGUGAAGUGAAGAUUCUGCCCCGUCCACGAGCUGGGCCUACUCAGAUGACCAACAUCCUUUCCAACUUUAAGAUCGAUGCUAUCAUUUUAUGAGAGUGUACUUUGAUCAGCCACUCCAUUACCCUGGCUGACAACAGACCGCACGUGAUAAAAUAGCUCAACAUUUCCACACCUCCUCUCAGCCGGCUGUCCUUGCAUCCACGUUCACCCAAUGGAAAAACUGCUGUGGGAAUCACGGAUUUGCAGCUCCCUCAAGCACUAUGGAUUCACUGAAUACUGUCCUUUUUGUAACUGUUUCUGCAGAGAACUGAGAGAGGAAGAUAACUUGUAAAUCAGAUGUGUUAACCUCAAAACCCCCCCCCUUUUUUUUCCUGGCAGCACCCACAGCAUAUGAAAGUUCCUGGGUCAGAUCCUUCACCCACUGCGAGGGGUAUUGAGCCCUUGCUGCCACAGAGGCAAUUCCAGAUCCUUAACCCACUAUGCUACAGAGGGAACUCCAAUCUCACCCUCUAGCCAGGUUCUGUUUAAAUGUUCCAGUGAGUUCCAGCUAUGCUAAGGGACUAAGAGAAGCGUGUCCUAACUCGGGAAGUUGGAGCGUGGCAGCCACAGAACAAUAAGAGCUCCCUAAGGGGAAGGCGCUUCCAGGAAUAGAGCUGAGGACGCGGAGAUCCAGCUACCCCGUCCCUAGGCCGCCAGCAUGUGAUUAUGAAGAGCUGGCAGCGCUGUCCUUGCUCUCGGAAAUUCAGGUUUUCGAGCUCCUUAUCUAGCUGGAGGUUUGUGGUGCAGGACUGAAAGCAGAGUUUGGCUGAAUCCAAAUCCACCGUCUUGGACUUUAUUUUUGAAAGCUUGAAGUCACUUCAUCUGAGCUGGUGCCCGGAGGAUGGGGGCAGGACGUCACCUCUCACUGCUGACGCUGCAGAUGUCGCCUAGUUUGUCACGGAGGAGACAGAGACCCUAAUACACCGAGGGGUGAGAAUUGAAGAGUGCUGCUGGGAUCCUGUGUCAACUUGGUCUUGCCUCGGCCGUCUGGCCCGUCACAGCUGCAGAAAAAGAAUUCCUGCCAAGACGCAGUGCGUUAGGAAUUCGAUCGCCGCGGCUUAGCUCACUGUGGAGAUGUUUGACACGCUGGGUACAGUCUGUACGCACCACACACCCCGACCUGGACAAGCCACAUCACACGCUCAGUGACCCCAUCUGGCUUCUGGCUUAGAUGAGGCAGGUUUUUAUACCAGGGGGUCUCCUGGGGGAAAUCCCCUCCCACCACAGGGCAUUUAUCAAUGUUUGCAUAUUUUGGAGGGAUUGUCACCACGGCUGGGGAUGCUUCAGGCCUCUGAAGGGUGGGGACCAGAGAUCCUGCUAAAUACCCCACAAUGCAGGGGAAAGCAGCCCCCCCCCCGCCCCCGCCUCCACGCUUCUGACAAAGAGCCAUCUGUCCCAAGAUGGCAGGAAUGCCGAGACUGAGAAACCUGAGCCUGGACCAGUCCCCUCUCCCCUUUCCCCACAGCAGUGAGAAUGAGCCCCAAGACCCAGGGGGUGGCAGGACAGGUGCUGACACAUGGGCCUCCUGAGUCCAGCCCCAAGGCACCUGCCUGCAUCCCCGUGGCCUCCUUCAGGCGGCAAUGGGAGCAGGUGUUCCCAACCCUUUUUCCAGCUCAGUUCGGUAGGUGACUAGAAGUGACAGGACACAAGCCAUGGGCCAGAAGCCACCCCCCCCGCCCCCUCCCCCACCACACACCAAGUUCCACCACACAAAAGAAACGUUUGUGCUUCAUGAAGAUUUAGGGAAAAUUCGUACACUUGUCAGAACCUGACAACUAGCCCGAGAGACAGGAAAUGCUGAGGCCAGCGAGGAGUCAGCCGCUGUCGCGGGGCCAGCUCUGGACGCAGCUGCGGAGUGUCGGGGUCUGUGCACGAGGAGUCGUUUCAGUCUGUUACACCUGCAUUAAAAUAUAUGACCACGUGGAA